rnacentral:misc_RNA from 1 species
GAGAGAUCAGGCUGGCAGCUUGUAAUUGUUGACCGAGAGAAUGAUGUCCUCCUCCUCGGUGACGAUCCUUGGCAGGAGUUUGUGAACAAUGUUUGGUACAUCAAGAUACUUUCUCCACAUGAAGUGCAACAGAUAGGGAAAGAGGGACUUGAUCUUCCAAAUGGUGUCCAAGCGCAGACGCUUCCUGGCAAUGUCAAUGGAUGUGAUGAUUAUAUGAACCAGAAGGGCUCCCGAAAUACUAUGAACGGGAUACCAUUGGGGUCACUUGACUACUAAUGACCAUUAGUGUGAUCUGCCUAAGGUAAUUGUACUGUAUAGUUGUUGUUGCCCUUGGUUAAUGUCUGCAAAUUUUUUGUACCCUGUUGUGUCUUAAGUGUCAUGUAUCUUUUCUAUCUAAAGACAAGGGCCAAGUCUCAUUUGUAGCUUGUUACCCCAGAGAAGUACAAUGUAAAUUAUAAAUAUUUUAUUAU